GGACCCGCACAAGCAGUGGAGUAUGUGGUUUAAUUCGAAGCAACGCGAAGAACCUUACCAGGUCUUGACAUCCCCCUGACCGGAUCAGAGAUGGUCCUUUCCUUCGGGACAGGGGAGACAGGUGGUGCAUGGUUGUCGUCAGCUCGUGUCGUGAGAUGUUGGGUUAAGUCCCGCAACGAGCGCAACCCUUGACUUUAGUUGCCAGCAAGUCAGGUUGGGCACUCUAAAGUGACUGCCGGUGACAAACCGGAGGAAGGUGGGGAUGACGUCAAAUCAUCAUGCCCCUUAUGACCUGGGCUACACACGUACUACAAUGGCCGGUACAACGGGAAGCGAAGGAGCGAUCCGGAGCGAAUCCUAAAAAGCCGGUCUCAGUUCGGAUUGCAGGCUGCAACUCGCCUGCAUGAAGUCGGAAUUGCUAGUAAUCGCGGAUCAGCAUGCCGCGGUGAAUACGUUCCCGGGUCUU
rnacentral:rRNA from 1 species